UACGGGGGGAGCAAGCGUUGUUCGGAUUUACUGGGCGUAAAGGGCGCGUAGGCGGCCAGCACAAGUCAGUUGUGAAAUCUCCGAGCUUAACCCGGAAAGGUCAACCGAUACUGCGGGGCUAGAGUGCAGAAGGGGCAACUGGAAUUCUCGGUGUAGCGGUGAAAUGCGUAGAUAUCGAGAGGAACACCUGCGGCGAAGGCGGGUUGCUGGGCUGACACUGACGCUGAAACGCGAAAGCUAGGGGAGCGAACGGG
rnacentral:rRNA from 1 species